UCUGCUCCGGCUUCAACGCCUCUAAACUCCCCGGCACUGCGAGGUUUCAAGCCGGGGGGGAGCGGCCGCGGCCAAGCAAAAGCCCCGCCCCGUUUCCCUAUCGCCCACCAAUAGAAACACCGCUUGCUCCUGAUUGACUUCGACCGCAGCCAACAGCGGCUGAGGAGGCGGGGCAAGUGGCGCUAGGAAGAGGGCGUGGCGUUCUAAGCUCCGCCGCUAACGCUCGAGAACAAGCAUCACUCCGCCCCCAAAGAGCCCAGGCCAAUGGACGCUGAGUCAGGGAGGAUGGUAGAUUGACAUGAUGGCCAGCCAAUAAGAACUAGAAUAGGCCGCGUUUUGUCAGGCUGGCCCUGCCAGAGUCAGAUGAGAGAACUAUCUACAAUGACUCCAAGAUCUGUUUCUUGAGUGGUAACAGGACCAGUGUUCCUAGCCAAAAUUUGAUACAGUAAAAGAAGAAGAGGGACAAGGGAGCAAAGUUGUUUACCUCAGACGAAGGCAUAUUGCUAAACUCUAACCACAGGACUUUGUUAAGAAAACCACACGUACAUAACAGAAUGUUACACCAUAGUAUUGGUAAGAGUUCUGUAGCAUCUGAAAUACCAACAAAGUGAGCUUCACUGAAAGUUCAAAAUGUAGGAUGUCUCAAGAAUGCUCAGUAUUGGUUUUAUAAAGCUGUAGCAUGUGCUAGUACAGUGGUCUCCAAACUUUUUUACACCCAAGCUCACUUUUUAAACGUCAGGGCAAGCCAAGAUCUACCCCAUCCUUCUCCAAGACCCCAACCCUUCCUUGAGGCCCCACCCUCUGUUCCCCACCUCUCCAUCAUUUUCUGUCCCCAGCUCUUACUCACUCUCACUGGAUUGAGACAAGAGGUGCAGGCUCUGGGGAGGGAAUGAGAG